rnacentral:rRNA from 1 species
UGGGGAAUAUUGGGCAAUGGGGGGAAACCCUGACCCAGCAACGCCGCGUGAAGGAAGAAGGCUUUCGGGUUGUAAACUUCUUUUACCAGGGACGAAGGACGUGACGGUACCUGGAGAAAAAGCCCCGGCUAACUACGUGCCAGCAGCCGCGGUAAUACGUAGGGGGCAAGCGUUAUCCGGAUUUACUGGGUGUAAAGGGAGCGCAGGCGGAUGGCUAAGUCUGAUGUGAAAGCCCGGGGCUCAACCCCGGGACUGCAUUGGAAACUGGUUAUCUUGAGUGUCGGAGAGGUAAGUGGAAUUCCUAGUGUAGCGGUGAAAUGCGUAGAUAUUAGGAGGAACACCAGUGGCGAAGGCGGCUUACUGGACGACAACUGACGCUGAGGCUCGAAAGCGUGGGGAGCAAACAGGAUUAGAUACCCUGGUAGU